GAUUCCUGCUCCCAGCCCAGGCCCAGACGGCAACAGAAGCUCAUGGUGAGUUCACCCCGGUCCUGGUCUGGCACCUCAUUGCUGGGGAGGUCUCGGCAGUCCAGAGGAGGUAGCCCCCACCCUGGGCAUCCAUCCGCCCAGGCCCCAGCCUCCGCGGGAAGACCCAAUUACAGAAGAGAGAAGUAUGUGGAGACCCUUGGCUGAGGUUGGGGGUCCUGGAAGCUGGAGGUAGUGUUCCUGGGUAUAGCAUGAUGGGUUGAUGGGUGGGUUUUAUUCUCUUUUUAAGGAUUUUUUAUAUUUUUCAAAUUUCCCUUUUGAAAUGUAUUCAUUUUGCAAUCAGAAAACAAAACAGGCCAGGCGUGGUGGUUCACACCUGUAAUCCCAGCACUUUGGGAGGCUGAGGCGGGUGGAUCACCUGAGGCCAGGAGUCCAAGACCAGCCUGGCCAACUUGGUGAAACCCCGUCUCUACUAAGAAUACAAAAAUUAGCCAGGCGUGGUGGUGGGCACCUGUAGCCCCAGCUACUUGGGAGGCUGAGGCACGAGAAUCGCUCGAACCCAGGAGGCGGAGCUUGCAGUGAGCUGAGAUCGCGCCACUGCACUCCAGCCUGGGCAACAGAGAGAGACUCUGUCUCAAAAAAAA
ensembl:lncRNA LINC03048 long intergenic non-protein coding RNA 3048